UGGAUACUUCCUCCGUUCCAUAAUUCUUGUCUCAAAUUUGCGCAAAUAUGGAUGUAUUUAUUCUUAAAAAGUGUCUAGAUACAUGUAAUAUUUCGACAAGAAUUAUGAAACGGAGGAAGUAGUUU
rnacentral:pre_miRNA from 1 species